rnacentral:rRNA from 1 species
AUUGAACGCUGGCGGCAGGCCUAACACAUGCAAGUCGAGCGAGCGGCGGACGGGUGAGUAAUGUAUGGGGACUGCCCGAUAGAGGGGGCUAACUACUGGAAACGGUGGCUAAUACCGCAUACUAUCGGAUAACCCAUAUGGGAUUAGCUAGUAGGUGGGGUAAAGGCUCACCUAGGCGACGAUCUCUAGCUGGUCUGAGAGGAUGAUCAGCCACACUGGGACUGAGACGCGGCCCAGACUACUACGGAGGCAGAAGUAGGGAAUAUUGGACAAUGGGCGCAAGCCGGAUGCAGCGAGGCAGCGUGUAUGAAGAAGGCCAUAGGGUGGUAAAGUACGUUCAGCGGGGAGGCGUUAGCCGCAGAAGAAGCACAGGCUAACUCCGUGCCAGCAGCAGCGGUAAUAC